UUAUUCUAUGAAUCUCAUUACUUUCCCCGAGCUCUGGUGAUUCUUGUUCUAUUUGUCUUAUUUUUCUUCUCCGGGUCUUGCAUUUUCUCGACUUUUUGAACCCUUAAAAAUAUUCUCUACUUUAAUUGUUUCUUCAUGCUUCAGCUCUUUUAGUUACCAUUUAUCUCAUUGUUUACCUCUUAUUGUGUUUUCCCUUCCCUGAUUUAGUCUUGACUAACAUGGGAUGCG
rnacentral:lncRNA from 1 species